ensembl:lncRNA
CUGAGCGAUUAUAUUAAAUGUUAUAUAUUUUCCGAUGUACUGCAUCUUUCAGCAUACCCUUUAAUGGUCAUUCGUGUUUUGUUUUAGUUUUUUUCAUUAUUUACUGUAUGCUGUGAUGAAGAAGAAGAGAUGAUCGGUUGACAAGCUCUCCGUGCCGCCGCUUGAACUGAGUCUACAGUUAACUGUCACUCAAAAAAGAGUGGCAAAUAUGAAAAAGCGCGUAAAACAGUGUUGCCAAGUUAGCAGUUUUCCCGCUGAAUUUGGCUACUUUAACACUGUUGCCGCAGGUUGUUUUUUAUGUCCACGGGUUGAAGCGACCCCACUAACGUGAUAUUACCACCUGGAAUGCGAACUGUAUUAGUGAACCCCACCAAAAAGCAUGUACUUUACCUCCCAGAGCAAAACACGAUUGAGCUAUUUUUAAGUAAUGUUAGCAGUUGGGCAGGUUUUGUUGCGAAAACCUGGCAACCCCGAACAUCUGUUGUUUGAAUUUUAUAAUAAAAUGUAUAUAUUUAUUGAAUUUAUAAUACCCUAAGGCUUUGAGAAAGAAAAGAUUGACAUCCCUAACAAAUCGACAAAUUUAUCUGCUGGUGUACACUGAGUAAACUUUAUAUCAACAAACCAGGACAAAUACAUGUUGGGUGCUAUGGGAUGCAUUAUUUAUUGCAACCAAAAAAAUAAAAAAAUAAAAAAUCAUAGUACUUGUUUGAUGAUGCACCCUUAUAGGCAUCUGCUCUUAUUUGUUAUGUCCACUAGCUGGAUGCAUUUCAGAGUUAGCAGAGUAGUUCUUGACUGACAGGCCGUAUUUGUCAUGCUGUCUGUUGGACUUCACACAGAGGCUGGACAGAUGGGAAGGCCAGCGAGGGGCCGCAGACUCCCAGACCUGAAUCCUGCAGCACUGAUAAGCUGCACCUUGGUGGGCCGUGCGAGCAUUCAGGAGCCCAGAUCAGCAGGACUCAGACAGCAUCCAUGGGAGAGAGAUGCUGGCUGCAUUUCACUAUGUAUUAUCAGCUGCUGAUUUGAGUCCAGUCGAUUGCGUAAGUGAUUUCUAUCCCACCGGAUCGCCAGAGCGUGCUGAAGACAUCACCGUGACAUUGUCUGCGGUUGCAUCAUCCAGGUGGGUGCCGUGGAGAGAAGCUACUACAUGUGCUUUGAGUGUCUGGGUUGAGUGCAAUUCAAAUUCAGUGAUUCAUACGAAUGUUCAAU